ACAGACUCAGGGUGGAGCCUGCUGGAGAACCAUGGUUGAGACCAGGAGGUGUGAGGAAGUAUUCCUGUCCACUCACCAUCCACAUGGACACAGUGCACAGAAAACUCAAACUGUCUGACAACAACAGGAAGGUGACAUAUGUGAAGGAGCU